rnacentral:rRNA from 1 species
GUCCACGCCGUAAACGAUGGGUGCUAGGCGUCGCGGGUAUUGACCCCUGCGGUGCCGCAGCUAACGCAUUAAGCACCCCGCCUGGGGAGUACGGCCGCAAGGCUAAAACUCAAAGGAAUUGACGGGGGCCCCGCACAAGCGGUGGAGCAUGUGGUUCAAUUCGACGCAACGCGAAGAACCUUACCGGGGUUAGAAACCUACGGAACCCUGAUGAAAAUCGGGGGUGCCCGCAAGGGAGCCGUAGCCUAGGUGCUGCAUGGCUGUCGU